UACGUAGGGUGCAAGCGUUAUCCGGAAUUAUUGGGCGUAAAGAGCUCGUAGGUGGCUGGUCGCGUCUGCCGUGAAAGCCCGUGGCUUAACUACGGGUCUGCGGUGGAUACGGGCCGGCUUGAGGUAGGUAGGGGCAAGCGGAAUUCCUGGUGUAGCGGUGAAAUGCGCAGAUAUCAGGAGGAACACCGGUGGCGAAGGCGGCUUGCUGGGCCUUACCUGACGCUGAGGAGCGAAAGCGUGGGGAGCGAACAGG
rnacentral:rRNA from 1 species